UACGUAGGGUGCGAGCGUUGUCCGGAAUUAUUGGGCGUAAAGGGCUCGUAGGCGGUUUGUCGCGUCGGGAGUGAAAUCCACUGGCUUAACUGGUGGCUUGCUUUCGAUACGGGCAGACUGGAGGUAUGCAGGGGAGAACGGAAUUCCUGGUGUAGCGGUGAAAUGCGCAGAUAUCAGGAGGAACACCGGUGGCGAAGGCGGUUUGCUGGGCUGACACUGACGCUGAGGCGCGAAAGCUAGGGGAGCGAACGGG
rnacentral:rRNA from 1 species